AGAACCUGUGUCUCUGCAGCACAUUGCGCUACGGGGCAAUUUAUAUGCAUUUGGAUUGAGUUUUGGAUGUUUGUCCAAUUGGCGUCAUAUUAAUAGGCACUAUAAACCUCAUUGGAGUCUUGUUGGAGAUUUUACCAGAAGCCGAGUACAUUGAAUUGUUACUCAUUUGUAUUAAGAAGACUAUUGGAAUCCUUAGUGCUUAUCAGACAUUUGAAGUUAAGAACCUGUGUCUCUGCAGCACAUUGCGCUACGGGGCAAUUUAUAUGCAUUUGGAUUGAGUUUUGGAUGUUUGUCCAAUUGGCGUCAUAUUAAUAGGCACUAUAAACCUCAUUGGAGUCUUGUUGGAGAUUUUACCAGAAGCCGAGUACAUUGAAUUGUUACUCAUUUGUAUUAAGAAGACUAUUGGAAUCCUUAGUGCUUAUCAGACAUUUGAAGUUAAGCUGCCAGACGGCCCUUACCCUAACCGAGAGAGCACCAAGGACCAUAUACCAAAAAACCAGCCUGACUAAAAUGCUUGCUCGAAAACGUUGCUGGCUCCCGUACUAUAAUGGAUUAGCA